rnacentral:rRNA from 1 species
AGGUUAAGUUAACAAGGGCGCAUGGUGAAUGCCUUGGCACUAGGAGCCGAUGAAGGACGGGACUAACACCGAUAUGCUUCGGGGAGCUGUACGUAAGCUAUGAUCCGGAGAUUUCCGAAUGGGGCAACCCAGCAGUUUUAAUCAACUGUUACCACUAGAUGAAUUCAUAGUCUAGUUGGAGGUAAACGCUGUGAACUGAAACAUCUCAUUAGCAGCAGGAAUAUAAAGAAAUUUCGAUUCCCUAAGUAGCGGCGAGCGAACGGGGAACAGCCCAAACCAAAGUGCUUGCACUUUGGGGUUGUAGGACUGAACAUUUGAGUUACCAAAGAACUUGAUAGUCGAAGGAUUUGGGAAAAUCCGCCAUAGAUGGUGAUAGCCCAGUAGAUUAAAUCAAAUUCUCUCAGUUCAGGAUCCUGAGUACGGCGGAACACGUGAAAUUCCGUCGGAAUCCGGGAGGACCAUCUCCCAAGGCUAAAUACUACCUAGUGACCGAUAGUGAACCAGUACCGUGAGGGAAAGGUGAAAAGCACCCCGGGAGGGGAGUGAAAUAGUUCCUGAAACCAUGUGCCUACAAUAAGUCAGAGCGCGUUAAUGCGUGAUGGCGUGCCUUUUGUAGAAUGAACCGGCGAGUUAUGAUCCCGUGCAAGGUUAAGACUAAAAAGUCGGAGCCGUAGCGAAAGCGAGUCUGAAAUGGGCGUUUUGAGUACGAGGUUAUAGACCCGAAACCAGGUGACCUAUCCAUGUCCAGGUUGAAGGUGCGGUAAAACGCACUGGAGGACCGAACCCGUGUAAGUUGAAAAUUGCUGGGAUGAGGUGUGGAUAGCGGUGAAAUUCCAAACGAACUUGGAGAUAGCUGGUUCUCUCCGAAAUAGCUUUAGGGCUAGCCUCGGAAUUAGGAUCAUGGAGGUAGAGCACUAUUUGGACUAGGGGCCCGUCUUGGGUUACUGAAUUCAGAUAAACUCCGAAUGCCAUUGAUUCAUAUCCGGGAGUCAGACGAUGAGUGAUAAGAUCCACCGUCGAAAGGGGAACAGCCCAGACCAUCAGUUAAGGUCCCUAAAUGUAUGCUAAGUGGAAAAGGAUGUGGAGUUGCAUAGACAACUAGGAUGUUGGCUCAGAAGCAGCCACCAUUUAAAGAGUGCGUAAUAGCUCACUAGUCGAGUGAUCCUGCGCCGAAAAUGUACCGGGGCUAAGCAUACUACCGAAACCAUGGAUGCGACCAUUAGGUCGCGUGAUAGGAGAGCGUUCUAAGGGCGGUGAAGCAAGAUCGUGAGGACUUGUGGAGCGCUUAGAAGUGAGAAUGCCGGUAUGAGUAGCGAAAGAUAGGUGAGAAUCCUAUCCACCGAAUGACUAAGGUUUCCUGGGGAAGGCUCGUCCUCCCAGGGUUAGUCGGGACCUAAGUCGAGGCCGAGAGGCGUAGACGAUGGAUAACAGGUUGAGAUUCCUGUACUAGUUAAGUGCGUUUGAGCAAUGGAGGGACGCAGGAGGCUAAGAUGUGCAUUCUGUUGGAUUAGAAUGUCCAAGCAGUAAGUCUUGUGAAGAGUCAAAUGCUUUUCACUUUAAGGACAAGCUGUGAUGGGGAGCGAAAUUUAGUAGCGAAGCGUCUGAUGUCACACUGCCGAGAAAAGCUUCUAGUGAGUACUUAACUACCCGUACCGCAAACCGACACAGGUAGUCGAGGAGAGAAUCCUAAGGUGAGCGAGUGAACUCUCGUUAAGGAACUCGGCAAAAUGACCCCGUAACUUCGGGAGAAGGGGUGCUGAUCGCAAGAUCAGCCGCAGUGAAUAGGCCCAGGCGACUGUUUAUCAAAAACACAGGUCUCUGCAAAAUCGUAAGAUGACGUAUAGGGGCUGACGCCUGCCCGGUGCUGGAAGGUUAAAAGGAUGGGUUAGCUUCGGCGAAGCUCAGAAUUGAAGCCCCAGUAAACGGCGGCCGUAACUAUAACGGUCCUAAGGUAGCGAAAUUCCUUGUCGGGUAAGUUCCGACCCGCACGAAAGGCGUAACGAUCUGGGCACUGUCUCAACGAGAGACUCGGUGAAAUUAUAUUGUCCGUGAAGAUGCGGACUACCCGCGACAACGGAAAGCCCCAUGGAGCUUUACUGUAGCUUGAUAUUGAGUGUUUGUACAGCUUGUACAGGAUAGGUAGGAGCCAUAGAAACCGGAACGCUAGUUUCGGUGGAGGCGUUGGUGGGAUACUACCCUCGCUGUAUGACCACUCUAACCCGCACCACUAAUCGUGGUGGGAGACAGUGUCAGGUGGGCAGUUUGACUGGGGCGGUCGCCUCCUAAAAAGUAACGGAGGCGCCCAAAGGUUCCCUCAGAAUGGUUGGAAAUCAUUCGCAGAGUGUAAAGGCACAAGGGAGCUUGACUGCGAGACAGACAGGUCGAGCAGGGACGAAAGUCGGGCUUAGUGAUCCGGUGGUACCGUAUGGAAGGGCCAUCGCUCAACGGAUAAAAGCUACCCUGGGGAUAACAGGCUUAUCUCCCCCAAGAGUCCACAUCGACGGGGAGGUUUGGCACCUCGAUGUCGGCUCAUCGCAUCCUGGGGCUGUAGUCGGUCCCAAGGGUUGGGCUGUUCGCCCAUUAAAGCGGUACGCGAGCUGGGUUCAGAACGUCGUGAGACAGUUCGGUCCCUAUCCGUCGCGGGCGUAGGAAAUUUGAGAGGACCUGUCCUUAGUACGAGAGGACCGGGAUGGACAUACCUCUGGUGUACCAGUUGUGCCGCCAGGCGCAUCGCUGGGUAGCUACGUAUGGAUGUGAUAAACGCUGAAAGCAUCUAAGUGUGAAACACACCUCGAGAUGAGAUUUCCCAUUCCUUUAUGGAAGUAAGACCCCUGAAAGAUGAUCAGGUAGAUAGGUUAGAAGUGGCAGUGCGGUGACGCAUGAAGCGGACUAAUACUAAUCGGUCGAGGACUUAACCAAG